AUUGAACGCUGGCGGCAGGCUUAACACAUGCAAGUCGAGCGGGCCCUUCGGGGUCAGCGGCGGACGGGUGAGUAACGCGUGGGAACGUGCCUUCUGGUCUGGAAUCACUCUGGGAAACUAGGGCUAAUACCGGAUACGCCCUUUUGGGGUAAGGUUUACUGCCGGAAGAUCGGCCCGCGUCUGAUUAGCUAGUUGGUGGGGUAACGGCCUCCCAAGGCGACGAUCAGUAGCUGGUCUGAGAGGAUGAUCAGCCACACUGGGACUGAGACACGGCCCAGACUCCUACGGGAGGUAGCAGUGGGGAAUAUUGGACAAUGGGCGCAAGCCUGAUCCAGCCAUGCCGCGUGAGUGAUGAAGGCCUUAGGGUUGUAAAGCUCUUUUAUCCGGGACGAUAAUGACGGUACCGGAGGAAUAAGCCCCGGCUAACUUCGUG
rnacentral:rRNA from 1 species